rnacentral:rRNA from 1 species
GAUGAACGCUGGCGGCGUGCCUAAUACAUGCAAGUCGAGCGAACAGAUAAGGAGCUUGCUCCUUUGACGUUAGCGGCGGACGGGUGAGUAACACGUGGGUAACCUACCUAUAAGACUGGGGUAACUUCGGGAAACCGGAGCUAAUACCGGAUAACAUUUGGAACCGCAUGGUUCUAAAGUGAAAGAUGGUUUUGCUAUCACUUAUAGAUGGACCCGCGCCGUAUUAGCUAGUUGGUAAGGUAACGGCUUACCAAGGCAACGAUACGUAGCCGACCUGAGAGGGUGAUCGGCCACACUGGAACUGAGACACGGUCCAGACUCCUACGGGAGGCAGCAGUAGGGAAUAUUGCGCAAUGGGCGAAAGCCUGACGGAGCAACGCCGCGUGAGUGAUGAAGGGUUUCGGCUCGUAAAACUCUGUUAUUAGGGAAGAACAAAUGUGUAAGUAACUGUGGACGUCUUGACGGUACCUAAUCAGAAAGCCACGGCUAACUACGUG